GGUCUGCAUUUUGUUUCCGUUUUAUUUUGGGUUUUUUUUGGUUUGAGUUUUUUUUUUCCUGCCGUUGGGACUGGCAUUCCUCAUGACAUCCACCAGAGGUCGCCAACAGACAGAGCCCCUGGAAGGCUGCUGAGUUCAACCCGUUUACACACCUGCAGCUUGUUUUGGAGGGCGUGGAUUAUGGAUUUAAGCAGCAGCUCCUCUCCGUCUCAUCGCCUGAGUGUUUGCUUACUUCGAUAUCCUGCUGUUCUCUCGCGGUUCUGGCGAAGAGCAGUCCUCCCCGAGUUCAGUGUGCGCCUGUGCUCCCCUCGUUGUGGAUUCCCUACCUCCUGUGUCCUCCCUCGACGCUGUCGGUGCUACCGGUCAGAAGCCACCCCUCGUGUGUCCACCCUUUCCUCUCGUCGAUCCCUCUCUGGUGGAACCCCCCUCAUUCCAACAAGACGACCCGGUCAUCAGCACCAGGAGUCGCGUCCUGACCCCUCCCCUGACUUCAAUAAACUGAUUAUUGUGCACUU